AUAGUUGGUGAACGCGCUACACACGGACAGUACUGAGUGCUGACGGAGCGAUUUGGGCACGGCAUCGAUUGGUAUUGCCGGCUAACGCCCAUGCCCUGAAGUAUGCACACUGGUGUCACCCACGGCAGGAUCAUGUCUUGACCCGGGCAAUCAACGCUCGCAGAUGGUACCGAGCGCCCCAAAAGUCACCUCGUGUGCCGGCGCUUGUGACGAGUAAAAUACAUCUACGGUCACUAAACUUGUGUCGUAUUCUCACAAAGGUCACUGGACUCAGAAAAGUGAAAGAUACGGUCACUGAAUAAUCCCAAGUUGCUCACUACGGUCACCGCGGCCAUUUGGAUACGUUUGGCGUUGACGUGGCAUACGAUUGACUAGACCCUCGUGAGAUCACGCACCUGCACAGGGCUUUUCUGCAAAACGAUCAGAAGGCAGUCUUACUUAAACUGUUACACACGGUCCUGACUAUUCGGAUCAUUUGAGAGGGCUGUCAUCGUGUGCAGUUGGCCCCGGUGAUCGUGGGUGGCGAUCUCGUAUCGGAGAAGAAGGAUCUGCACAUCUCCCUCGACAAGCGACGUGGCCUGUUCGUCGGCCGUACGGUGACCCUCCGCCUGCGUAUGGUUCAAAUGGCGAAAAGUUCAGUGUUCAGUUGAACCAUGGCGGUUACUUUCUCGGUACGGGACAGAACAGGGCAUAUGUUGGUGGCAGUGCUGUUUGGUAUGAUCACUGUGAGAAGGGUGGCUGGUCAUCAGAUUCAUUGGUCUGAUUGAAAAUCUAGGAUAUGAAUCUGAAGGUAGGAUCAAGAUUUAUUUCUGUUUCCCCGGAUGGUCUGUCAACACAAAGGGCUUACUUGAGAUCAGAGGUGAUUUACAGAGUGACAAGAUGGUAGAAGCAGUCAAUAGUGAGUCCCCUUUAGCUGAUCCGCAACCAGUUAUCGUCAGUCCUACUAAAGAAGGAAGGCAUCUGGAUGUUGAAUUAAAACCAAUUCAUCUUAUUUGCCCUGGCGCACAACCUGAAGUGAAGAAGACAAAGAGAGAGUUAGCAAUGGAUGAAGCUAAUGAGAUGGAUGACAAUAUUUCAGUUAACUCUGAAGAUUCCGAUUAUGAGCCUGAGAUCAUAGACAGUGACUAUGAUGUGAGUGAUGAAGACUCUGGUCUUCAAGAAGAUGUCGUUGAUGAAGAAGGUAGUUACAAAGGUAAGCAUGUGCAUAUAGCAGACAAUUCUGAUGACGAUCUUGAACUACUAGAUUCAGAUGAAGAGAACAUAAGAUAUAACUUCAAGACAUUCAGACCUGAAGACAUGCACAAGCCAGCUUUCCAGUCAGGGCAGGUGUUUGGGAGUGUUGAGUUGCUGAGAAAAGCUAUUAGAGAGUACAGUUGUAAAAACAGAGUGGACAUUAAAUUACCAAUCAAUGACAGGCAGAGGCUUUGUGCUAAGUGUGAACCUGGUUGUCCUUGGUAUAUGUGGGCAUCAACUGAUAGUAGAACCAAGAGUUUUCAGAUCAAGAGGUUUGAUGGGGAACACACCUGCAGCAAGAAGUGGAAAGUCAGAGCAUUUACCUAUGUUUUCUUAGCAGAAAAGUAUGUCGAGACAUUUAGGGCCGAUGAAGAUAUGAAUAUGAAAAACUUCUCGAGGAUUGUUCAGAAGGAUUGUAAUAUGGGACCUACGAGGAGAAAAUUACAGAGAUCAAGGAGGUUAGCAUUGCAGGUUGUGUAUGGGGAUGAGAAUGCACAAUACAAGUUGCUAUGGGACUUUGGAGAGGAGCUAAGAAGGAACAAUCCUGGAAGUACAUUCUUGUUGUCAGUAGAUGCGAUGUCAAGGUUCAAGCAAUGCUAUAUGUGUGUUGAUGCUUGCAAAAGAGGCUUCUUGAAGGGAUGUAGGCCAGUAAUAUGUCUAGAUGGCACCCAUAUCAAGGCACGGUGUUAUUAUUCGCUGCAGCUAUUGUGGUGGGCCUGGACACAACAUAGGUGGCUGAAAUGACAAAAAGAAUGGUAUGCCACCAAAGCAAUAUGUCAGCAAGAAGAAAAAAGAAGUUGUUAAACUCCUUCCGGAUUCAUCUGAUGAAGAUGAGCAUGUUAUCACUCAGGAUCACAACAUGGAAUGUCAAUCUGGGUUGAACAAUGAAGAUCAUGUUCACAUUGGCACGACAAUGCUUGAUGAGAUGCUCCAACAGAGACAUGUUCGUGUGGAGCCACAGUUUGAGCCACUGCCCGAAUCAUCUUUCAUCGUAGCUGCUCGGGAAAAGGCCAGUCAGACAGGUUGCUGUUCAGCACAACCAAGACAGGGAGAUUUGGCAAAAGAGGUAGAAGAAAUUAAGCAAGCUAAGAACAAUGCAUCAGCUAAGAAGAAAGAAGAGGCAAUGCAAGCAAGGAUUAGAAAAGAAGAAGAGGCAGUAGCACUGAAAGCGCAGAUUGCAAAGUUAAAAGCAGAUGAGUCACAACAAAAGAAGAUGUUGGCUGCACAGAAGAAAAAGGAAGAACAAGCUGCAAAGAAAGAAUAAGCUGAAGACAGAAGGAGGCAAAGAAAGUUGCAGCUACUGAGAAGAAAGCUCUGCAAGCAGCAACAAAGAAAAGAGCAACUGAAGAGAGCAGGGCUAUAAAGGAAGCAAUGGCAGCAAAGAAAUCAAAGAAAGUUUCAAUGUUCGAUGAGUUGAGGUGAUCUGUUCAGUUGAGUUCAUCAAGUGCUAGUUGAACUAUGUCAGUUUAUUGUUUCAGUUGAACUGGUGAUUGUUUUAAAAGCAACGACUCACUUGAAAGUAUACCGAGUGAGAGAUGCAUGUCCAGAUGCUCUCUACCUCGUGUUUUAAGUUUGGAAUUGCACAAAUUAGUUUGAGCACGAUUAUCCAGACUGUACCGGUGCCAGUUUUGUUCUCAAAGUAUGUAUAUAGAGCAUAAGAAGACUCAAAGAUGAUGCCAGUUUUAAUAGGAAUAACACUUUACUACAUA